AAGGAUUCUGUUCAGCUUGACAUCAAGAACCAUCAGAAAGUGACACCAUUGCUGUUAGCUGUCUCUAUUGGCCACCUCGGAAUGGUGCACCAGUUGAUAGCAAAAGGUGCAGACGUAAAUGUUGUCAAUAAUGAAGGCAACAAUUGUCUGCACCUGGCUGUGAAGAGGAGGUGGAGGUUUCAUUCCGAGGUUGAACCUUUAAGUAUUUUAGAUAAGGUAAGUUUGGAAAUUGUUUAUGAAUAUCUGUGUGUGUGUGUGUGUGUGUGUGUGUGUGUGUGUGUGGUUUUGAAAGAAGGAGAGUGAGAGAGCGAGAGAGACAGACAGACAAACAUUGACUGUCAUGUCUCAAUUCACACUCAUCAACCUUUCUUUUAAGUAAUCCAGUCCCCUACCUGAUAGCCUUAGUUAUAUUUUGUAACUAGGAAAAUUCCAUCUCCUGCUACCCUCAAAGCCAUGGCCUCUCUACCACAAAGAAGGUAGCCUAUCUUGGACAUUGGUCAUAUAAACACAGCCAUUACUGUGUAGAGAAGAGGUGACCUCCUGAAGAGAGGAAAUAUUCCUUAAUAAUAAUGAUACAGGUGACAUGAUAAAAGAUAACCUUUAUGGUGCUGGUGCCAUGAUAAAUACAUCCAGUUCAUUCCAUGAAGAAUUCUUCAAAAGGAGAGAUAUCAUAUAUGCUCUGGCGUUCUGUGGAAAUGCCAUAACAAUGUUGAAUCUCAGAACACUAGAGAAUGGAUACAAUGAAUUAGGGUCCUUAGGGAGUUUUCCCUGCAUUUAAGAAUUGUAUGUACAACUACACACACACACACACACACACACACACAUAUGUAUAUAUAUAUGUAUAUGUAGAUGGCAACGGCUAAAUGUAUGUAUGUGUGCGUGUGUGUAAAACUAUCGACCUAUAUAUAUAUAUAUAUAUAUAUAUAUAUAUAUAUGAUAGAUCACUGGCCACUUCUCAUUCUUUAUUUUCUCUCCUUAUUUAUUUCUGUGUUGCUUUGUGUGGAAGAGCGUAGGCUCGAAACGUUAAAAUCUUUUUUUGUCUACGCUACUUGUCUUCGUCUUUUUUUGUGAAUUCUCCCUAUAUAUAUAAAUAUAUAUAUAUAUAUAUAUAUAUAUAUAUAUAUAUAUAAUAUAUAUAAAAACGGCGGUGCAUCACCAUGGCCGCAGCUCUGAGCUGAAACUUUAUAUAUAUAUAUAUAUAUAUAUACAUAUACAAAUCAUGCAAAGGCAUUCACAUCUAUCCAUCACUAUUGUUAACCGUUGCAGAAUUCAAGCAACUCCCUGCUUCCCGCAUAAAUAAAGGACACUAGAUAUGUGGGACUAUUUCUUCAAACAGUUGAUGAUUAUCUGUGUAUUGUAGUAACGUCUACUUUGGUGUGAGAAACCAGUGACCUCUCCACCUACUGGAAUUUUCCAUCCGACAAACAGUUUGAACAGUUUAUCAACUAUAAUGUGUUGGUGCACAAACUCAAUCGUGACACCAGUUCGUUCUUCUCUUUCGUCACAUUCAUCAUCAAAACAUUUUUUUUAUUAAUUCAUCAUCAUCACGUUUUUCUAUGCUGGCAGACGUUGCACUCUUUGACAUGAACUGGCCAGCUGAGGAGCUAUCAGGGCUCCAUGUCUGUUUCCGUGUGCUUUCUAUGACUCAGUCCUUUGUCAUCUGCUCUGUGCGGCCCAAUGUCUAAUGGUCCUUUCUCACCACUUAAUCACACGUCUUCCUGGGUCCACCCCUUCCGCACUUUCCUUCCACAAUUAAAGAUCUGCACUUCUUGAUGCAGCUGUCUUCAUCCAUAUGCAUUACAUAAUAAUACCAUCGCAGUCUUCUCUCUCGCACACAACAUCCGAUGCCUUAUAUAUCCAGCUUUUCUUUCAAAUCCACUUAAUUAAGGAAACAUUAUUGAUCUGUUUAGAUAUGUCUGUGUGUUUUUAAUUUAGUUGUUAUGCUUGAGGGCCUUGUUAUGUUGUUGGUAUUAUCUUUUCUGGUAUAACUUACAAUAUUUGGGUUGUUAUAUUUAUAUAUACAAUACUCUUCCGUAAGUAUUUCUCUUGCUAUGGCCAUUUGGCUCUAUCAAGCCAGUUGUAGAGAUAGGUUCUUGUUGGUUUGUUGUCUUUCAUUAUUGAGACAUUUCUGUCCUUAUACGUUGUAUAUUUGACUUGAUGUUAUAAUAACUUUAUAUUGUGUUUUAAUUGAAUAGUUUGUGACAUUUGUGAUUGGCAAGUAAAUAUUUACUCAUUAAAUAUCAUUGUUAAGCAAUAACGUUGACCACUAAUGUGCGUUUUGUUCAAUAUAAUGAUCAUAAUUUUUGUCUUAAUGUAGAACGUAAAGUAAAAACAAAUGAUAAUGAAAAGUGGACUCAACUAAUAGAUGAUGUAAGAAAUCAACGCUGUGUGAAUAGUUUAAUCACUGGGGAAACAAACUAUGUGUAAAUGUAGUUGAACUGUUGUGUAAUUUGGGGCAUCUUUAGUAUAUGUUUGUGUAAUCUUUAACUCAUCAUUUUAUAUUUCAUCAUUUGUAGUUCUGCGUAGAGCUGAAACUGGGAAACGAAGAAAGGUGCUCUGGUGUGGUAGUUGCCAGCUACCUAGCCCACCACGGGGCCAACUUUUACUGUAAAAACAAAAUUGGCAGAACACCAUUGGACCUAAUAAAAAAGGAAAAUUUAAAAAAGAUGUUAAAGACGUUAUUCCCACCGCAGUAAGUAUUCACUGGCAAUGACAAGAUAAACCAUUACAUUUUCUGUUUUGUAUAUAACCGUGUUUAUAUGUUUAU
rnacentral:lncRNA from 1 species